rnacentral:rRNA from 1 species
UACGUAGGGUCCGAGCGUUGUCCGGAAUUACUGGGCGUAAAGGGCUCGUAGGCGGCCAACUAAGUCAGACGUGAAAUCCCUCGGCUUAACCGGGGAACUGCGUCUGAUACUGGAUGGCUUGAAUCCGGGAGAGGGAUGCGGAAUUCCAGGUGUAGCGGUGAAAUGCGUAGAUAUCGGGAGGAACACCAAUGGCGAAGGCAGCUCGCUGGGACGGUACUGACGCUGAGACGCGAAAGCGUGGGGAGCAAACAGG